GAUGAACGCUGGCGGCGUGCCUAAUACAUGCAAGUCGAGCGAACAGACGAGGAGCUUGCUCCUCUGACGUUAGCGGCGGACGGGUGAGUAAAACGUGGAUAACCUACCUAUAAGACUGGGAUAACUUCGGGAAACCGGAGCUAAUACCGGAUAAUAUAUUGAACCGCAUGGUUCAAUAGUGAAAGACGGUUUUGCUGUCACUUAUAGAUGGAUCCGCGCCGCAUUAGCUAGUUGGUAAGGUAACGGCUUACGAAGGCAACGAUGCGUAGCCGACCUGAGAGGGUGAUCGGCCACACUGGAACUGAGACACGGUCCAGACUCCUACGGGAGGCAGAAGUAGGGAAUCUUCCGAAAUGGGCGAAAGCCUGCAGGAGCAACGCCGCGUGAGUGAUGAAGGUCUUCGGAUCGUAAAACUCUGUUAUUAGGGAAGAACAAAUGUGUAAGUAACUAUGCACGUCUUGACGGUACCUAAUCAGAAAGCCACGGCUAACUACGUG
rnacentral:rRNA from 1 species